rnacentral:rRNA from 1 species
AGUGAACGCUGGCGGUAGGCCUAACACAUGCAAGUCGAACGGCAGCACAGUAAGAGCUUGCUCUUACGGGUGGCGAGUGGCGGACGGGUGAGGAAUACAUCGGAAUCUACUUUUUCGUGGGGGAUAACGUAGGGAAACUUACGCUAAUACCGCAUACGACCUACGGGUAAAAGCAGGGGAUCUUCGGACCUUGCGCGAUUGAAUGAGCCGAUGUCGGAUUAGCUAGUUGGCGGGGUAAAGGCCCACCAAGGCGACGAUCCGUAGCUGGUCUGAGAGGAUGAUCAGCCACACUGGAACUGAGACACGGUCCAGACUCCUACGGGAGGCAGCAGUGGGGAAUAUUGGACAAUGGGCGCAAGCCUGAUCCAGCCAUACCGCGUGGGUGAAGAAGGCCUUCGGGUUGUAAAGCCCUUUUGUUGGGAAAGAAGAGCAGCAGGUUAAUACCCCGCUGUUCUGACGGUACCCAAAGAAUAAGCACCGGCUAACUUCGU